AUUGAACGCUGGCGGCAGGCCUAACACAUGCAAGUCGAACGAGUGGCGAACGGGUGAGUAAUGUCUGGGAAACUGCCCGAUGGAGGGGGAUCACUACUGGAAACGGUAGCUAAUACCGCAUCCCAUCGGAUGUGCCCAGAUGGGCUUAGCUAGUAGGUGGGGUAAAGGCUAACCUAGGCGACGUUCCCUAGCUCGUAUGAGAGGAGGACCAGCCACACGGGAACGGAGACACGGUCCAGCCUCGUACGGGAGGCAGCAGUGGGGAAUAUGGCACAAUGGGAGCAAGCCUGAUGCAGGCAUGCCGCGUGUAUGAAGAAGGCCUUCGGGUUGUAAAGUACUUUCAGCGAGUAGGCGUUACUCGCAGAAGAAGCACCGGCUAACUCCGUGCCAGCAGCCGCGGUAAUUC
rnacentral:rRNA from 1 species